CAACAGAAGCUUGUUCAGUAGUUGGUGUGUGUCAUUCUGGCAGGAGUGUGGCACCUGCAUUCUUUCAGUCUUAAGUGACAGAAGGCCAUCUAAAAGUCAGAUGUAAAGCUGAUGGCUUGUCUGCCCAGAAUGGAAGGGGUGCUCAGGAGGAAAACCUCCCCAGCUUCCCUCACAAAGAUACAUGGUCAAGUGCACCCAGUAUCUUCCAUCUCUGGGCUCCUGUGAAAGACUUCUGUCAAUAUGGGACGGUGACUUUGGAGCUUCGCACUGAGAGGAUGGUAUCUGCUCAAAAUAAAUACAAGAAGAAUGGUAAUGACCAGCUGAACUAGUGUGUCAGCAGGCGAUGUUGUCCAAAGAGCCGUGGAGU